AAAGUCGUAACAAGGUUUCCGUAGGUGAACCUGCGGAAGGAUCAUUAACAAAUAUCCAUUUUAUGGGUGUUAAAUCCAUAUCAACCCCUUGUGAAUUUGUAAUGUUUUCGGUAGUUAUUUUCAGUAGUUUUUGAGACAAGGAGAGUAAUCACUCUUCGGGUUUCCAUUUCUAUCUGGAAAGCUGCCAAUGGGUUAUCAUAUAAUCCAUUUUUGAAAAAACUCUUUUAUUAUUAGUCUGAGUUUUUAUUGUAAAAUAAAAUACAACUUUUGACAACGGAUCUCUUGGUUCUC
rnacentral:misc_RNA from 1 species